GUAGGUGGCAAGCGUUGUCCGGAAUUAUUGGGCGUAAAGCGCGCGCAGGCGGUCCUUUAAGUCUGAUGUGAAAGCCCGCGGCUCAACCGUGGAGGGUCAUUGGAAACUGGGGGACUUGAGUACAGAAGAGGAAAGCGGAAUUCCAAGUGUAGCGGUGAAAUGCGUAGAGAUUUGGAGGAACACCAGUGGCGAAGGCGGCUUUCUGGUCUGUAACUGACGCUGAGGCGCGAAAGCGUGGGGAGCAAACAGGAUUAGAUACCCUGGUAGUCCACGCCGUAAACGAUGAGUGCUAAGUGUUAGGGGUUUCCCGCCCCCUUAGUGCUGCAGCUAACGCAUUAAGCACUCCGCCUGGGGAGUACGGCCGCAAGGCUG
rnacentral:rRNA from 1 species